rnacentral:tRNA from 1 species
GCAGAGGUGCCGGAGUGGUCAAACGGAGCACGUUUAGGCCGUGCUGGCUUAGUGCCUUCAUGGGUUCGAAUCCUAUCCUCUGCA